rnacentral:rRNA from 1 species
UACGUAGGGUGCGAGCGUUAAUCGGAAUUACUGGGCGUAAAGUGUGCACAGGCGGCAGAGCAAGUCGAGUGUGAAAGCCCCGGGCUUAACUUGGGAAUUGCGCUCGAAACUACUUUGCUGGAGUGUGGCAGAGGAAGGUGGAAUUCCACGUGUAGCGGUGAAAUGCGUAGAGAAUGUGGAGGAACACCAAUGGCGAAGGCAGGCCGUUCUAGGGCCG